GUUGAUUUAAUAUGUUAUUUGAAUUUUCACUUUUAGAUAGAACACUGAAUAUAGCCAUGCUGUAGGAGAUCUCCUCUGGAUGCCAAGAUCAAUAUUACAUCAAGCCUAUGAACCUGUUUUGGAGUUACAGAACCCAUAAAUAUUUGGAGUGUAACGAAUUUCCAACAUAAAAUAUUUUUAAAAAACUUCAAUCAAUGUCUGUUUCAAAAAAGAUUCACUUGGAAUGAGGUGAGGAAGAGACAAAACCAAUGGAUCCUCAGGUGGCAAAUAUGAUAAGGAACAUCACUGGCUUUUGGAUAAUAUCACAUAUAUAUUGUUCAUUCAUGUUUUUCGAAAUGAGACAAAGACUAAAGAAAAACGCUUUUAUGUGGCACAUGCAUGGGAUCCUGUCAGUGACUUAUUCAAUGGAAGUGUGUGUUUGUAUUUGUUAUUUGUGGACAAAGCACAGUUGUCCAGGAUUUAUUCUCAAGAAAGAUUGGGUGAACUGGUGUUCUUGGAUCCUCAUUUUGACCUUCUACAUGCUCAUAAUAAUGAUUGUUUUGAAAUUUUCCUCUAAAUAUAUUUCCUUUUAUUUAAUGAUACUGCUCUUUUCAGAGAAUUUCACCAAUACUGAGCACAUUAUCUUUUCGAUUUCUAUAUUUAGGGUAUUUUUUACAUGGUUUUUUUCCCUUAUUAUUUAAAAAAUUCUCUAGGCUUCUCAGAAAUAAGGAGCUCUGUCCCAACCUUUCUGUGCAACUCUGAGCCUUGGUUUUGAGCACAAAGGUCUCUGUUUGCAGAGGGAACUUUGACUGCUCUGUUCAGGAAACAGCCUAGUUUCACAGAGUUUGCCUUCUGAGCUGGGACUGGAAGCUGCCCCACUGAUUUGUUCUUAGAUUGAGGCAGGGCAGAGCGCCUUCAGUGUGAUUUGCUGUGAUUAAGAUCCUCUCACCAAACUUUCCCACAGUCUAUCUGAACUGGUCUGAACACACUUUUCACCCCAAUGAGACUGACUUUUUUUGAACUUUUUUUCAGUCUGUGUUGAGCUGGAAAGUAGGUUCAUUCCAUCAGACUCUGUUCAGAGGCUUGGUUUCAUGGGAUUUUCCAGGGAAACUGGGAGAACUGGAGCAGCUCCCUGAUUUUAUUCCACCAUCUUGGCUCCACCUCAGAAGUCUUUUUUUCCUAUUCUUAUUUAAAGGUUUAAGUUCCAAAUUCUGUCCCUCUUUUCCUUCUCUCCCCUCCCCAAGAUUGUAAGCAGUCAGAUAUAGUUUAUACAUGUGCAAUUAUGUAAGACUUCCAUAUUCGUCAUUUUAUACAAGAAGACUCAAAUGAAAGAAAAAAAGCAAUAAAGAGAUAAAUACCAUGUUUCACCCUGAA